UUAUCUGCAGACUGUAAUUUCUCAAGUCCAAGGAAGGGAAAUGUUGGUGACAGAAACUCACUCUGGGGACUUCAUCUACGGAAAGAAAGCUCACUUAUCACAAACAAAUCAUUUCUAAGCGAGCAACAAUUUUGUUGACUACAUUUAAAGACAGAAACACGCAGUUCCCAAGUGCAAUUUCAGUUUUCCAAAGGACAGUUUGAUUCUUUUUCAGAAAUGCCUUGGUGAUUAUUUUUUGUUGUUUUGUUUCGUUUUGCUUAGAAGGACUGCUUAGUGUGCCUCUUUAGUCAACAUGAAAAAGAAGAAAAGAACAAGUAACUGAAGGAUCCUCUGAUGGCCUCAAGGCAGUGGAUUGAGAAUAUCUCUUAAGUACAAGGAGGUAUUCUAGAUAUAGCAAGACCUAGCUGAUUUUUUUAACAGUAUGGUGUGGAAGAUCCAGUUCACCCCGAGUAAGAAAGCAUCAUUUCUUCUCUUUGAGAAAACUGGGCCAAAUGGAGGAUGCUGGUCACAUGAUCUACUGAUGCCUGCUAAGCAACAGCAUGGCUGAUUGGACAGAUGUGUUAAUAUAGAUUCUGGUGGAAGCAUAGCUCCUUCCCUUUUUUUGUAUUUUGUUGUUUUUAUCAGUAACUGUAUUUUUACUGAAGUAGAAGUUCAUAAGGAAAAAAAUGAAAAAUAUCACUGUAAGCUAAUUGGCUUUGAAGCUUUGGGGGAUUCAUUUUAUUAUGGAAGAUCAACUGGAAGAUAAAUGCACAUACACAGCAUGAAAAAUAUCGACCCCACAGAAACCACAGGAGAAAGCUCAAUUGGCUGGCAAUGCUAUCUGAUUCAAAGGUAUAUAUACAUAAACUAACUUUCAUUGUGUUUGUUUUAUUUAUGCUUGUUUAUCUCUUCCAAGCAAGGACUUACUCAUUACUUGAAAAAGAAGUCAAUAAAAGGGGAAAAGGCUUAGAUAAGAGAAGAAGCUGUUUUUAAAAAACACCUUUCUGAUAUCUUAUUUAGAGGUUUUCAUUGUGUGGUAAAUUAUUUUGUUAAAUUUUACAUUUUAACUUAUGCUUGCAAGUUUUUUAUUAUUUGAUACAUUAGUCCCUUUAAUUCUUGCCUAAAAAUAUUUAUUCCUCAAGCAUUAAUGAGAGAAGAAUCUCUUCCAUCUAGGUAAUAAGGAAAAUAAAGUGGCUACAUAUUAGAGUCGAGUUUUCAACUAUUGUCUGGCCUUUUGUGUAAGAAUUAGUUGGCACUUAAAAACACCUUUUCAAGGUGAAGCCCUCUAACUGCUUUUGUAAGCGUAUGUGGGGUCAUGAAUAUCAAUGGCUUCACAGGGAAAAUACAUCUUCACAUCUGAUGAGUAUCUAGAAGAUUCGCUCCUUUCCCAAAUCUCUCUGAACAAUAUACAUUAAUCUUCAGAAGUGAUAUGAUAACCUUAAUAGAAUAUGGAGCAACGUUUUACACGUUAUUUCACAUAUUGUCUGAUUUAUUGAAAAUGGGUACUUCCAAUGAUAUCACAGAACUAACAACCAUCUGACCCCAACUACAUAACAGAAUAUGACAGAUAAAAAAUAUUGUUACAAUGAACCAGAAGAGGUAUCUGGUUUUUGUUGCAGUAGAAUUUAGAUCUAAGGAGUACAUAACUAUAAUUUGCAUUUCUGGGACAAAAGAGCUUGAGAACCAAAAGAGCUAAACAUCAUAGUUUGCUUUUGAUAUUAGUAAUGGAGAAAAAUGCUUCAGCAAAGUUAGUGCGAUGAUUUAAUAAGACUCACAAAUAUCCCAAAGAUCUACUCAUAAGCUUCUAAUAUGUGUAAAGAGUAUAGAAGAGCAGGAGAAAGAAAUCACUGGCAAUAACUGAUCAUAGAGAGGUUCCAAUAUUUCCAGCGACAGCCCUGUAAUGUUCUUCCUCAUUCAGAUAGGAUGUAGUUCAUCUUUGGUUAUCAAUCACUAAGAUUGGUCUGAGGUAUCUUAGUGUUGGCAGAGCCCAAGCACAGGUUUACAGGGGGACUUAUAUACCUCAGACCACAUAGGGGAAGCCAGGGUGUAUGACAAGUUAAAGCAGGCAUAAGCUAUCAAUCUGUGCUCUUUUCCAAACCCUAUAUAAACACAUAACCAAGCCUUCAUCUCUGUUGCUUCUGUAUUCUUACUUCUCUUGUUUUGAUUCCUAAUGUUUGUGCUUCUGGAUUCCGGAUUCCUUAUCUGACUUCUAUUCUCAAACUCAUUUACACCUUUGACUCUUUUUUUCUCAACCACCCUGGCUAUUAUAAUGAUUUGGUACAGAAAAUAAGAAAAUGAAAGAUAUAAAACUUUAUCUACAUCUUUUCUGUCUGUGUUUUAGUCCAUUUGUGCUGCUAUAACAAAAUACCUGAGAUUGGGUAAUUUGGCUCAUGAUUCUGGAGACUGGAAGUCCAAGACUGAGGGACUGGCUUCUGGCAAGGACCUUCUUGCUGUGUCAUGUCAUGGCAGAUGGCAGAAAGGUACAAGUGGCUCACGCCUGUAAUCCCAGCACUUUGGGU